UGUGUGUCUGCGUGUCUGUGUCUGUGUCUGUGUGUGUCUGUGUGUCGGGCACAGACCUGGGCGGUGCUGAAGGAAGCUUACCGGAGGCGAGAGAUGGGACCUCUCAGAAGAGCAAGCCUGUUCCUUAGGAAGGGGAGAUGAAGUUCAUCUGCCUCGUCCCCUCCCCUGCUCGGGGUUGUGAGCUGACCCCCUCCCCAGGAAGCGAGCUGCGGGCCCCUCCUCCAGGCGCCCACCUCCGCCGCGGGCUGAGCGUCCUGCUGACCCCAGGCAGGAGGGGAAGACUCGUCCUGCAGGCGGGAGCCCGCGGGCCCUGCACAGCGGGCGUUCCCGGCAGAGCCUGUACUUGGGCUCUCAGGGCGAUCUCUGUCGUGAGCCUCUGCAUUCCGGGUGACGUGUAAACACGUGGGUUCGGGUUUCUCGCUGACCCUGCAGAGAAGCCCGGUCAGGCGCAGGGGGCCCCAGAGAAGCAAAGGCCGUCUUCAGCGAGCCCCACUUCCCCUUCAGCCUCCUCACAUUAGAGAGCCCAUCCUCGGGUCCACCUUCCCUCUGAGAGCUGAGGAAGCAAGAGACGUUCAGAUGUAAAGAUCAGUUUUGCUUCUGCACCCAUCAAGACAAGGCUGAGGCCUUGAACCGCAUGGAGCUUCGGGGGCGGUUUCUGCUUGUUUUUCUCCAGGGUCAGGUUAGCCAGGUGCAGGCUCCGCCGUGUGCCCGGCGCUGCCCUGGGCCCCGGGGGGCAGAACGAGGAGCCAGGCAGGACAGGCCUCUCCCUGCGGAAGAGGGUACCUUGCCAAGAGAAGAGAAAGGAAACGAGUCCUUGGUCCUUCCUGCCCUGUUCCCAGGAAGUGGCUGGUGCCAGGGCCACGUGAGUGUCCGUCCUGCCUGCCCCGUCCUCCCCUGAGACACGAGUGAGGACCCAGGGCAGCACAGGGAGCUGGAGCCCCGGGCGCCACAUCCACACAGGACUGUCCCGGCGCGGGGGAGGCCUUGGGGUGUCCGGCUCCCGAUGCAGCCUGGCCACUCUUCCUGGACAGAACCGGCUUUGAUGGGCCAAGUGGACACUAACCCUGGUGGCCCCGGCCUUGACUUCUGAUCGUGUCCCCGGACAGGGGUCAGGGACUCAAACACGUCCCUCACUGUCUGCCGAUCACCACCCCACUCCUCCCGCCCCUGACCUUAUCGCUGUAGCCAAGGCCUGUAAAUGGUGGGCUGGGCUUGACCUUGCCUCGCCUGACUCCAAGGUCCAUGUUCCUGGCCUACUGGGAGACCCGUCAGCCCCUCUGUGCCUUUAAAUGUAGGUCCAAGCAGCACAGGUCCGAUGUGGCCUGUUUCACUGUCUUCCCAUCCCCAGAAACAGCAUUAAGGGCUGCUUCCCUCUUGCUGCUGCUUCUCACACACCAUGUGUUGUUUUGGGUGUGGUAGAAUAACUACAUAAAGUUUGCCAUCUUGGCCUUUUCCCGAGAGCUCAAGUCUGUGGCAUUAAAUGCAUUCAGGUGGUGCAGCCGUCACCCCCAUCCUCCGCGGAAGUCUUCCUCUUCCCAGACUGAACCUCGGUCCCCAUGAGACACCCUCCCGC